rnacentral:rRNA from 1 species
ACUCNUACGGGAGGCAGCAGUGAGGAAUAUUGGUCAAUGGGCGCAAGCNUGAACCAGCCAUCNCGCGNGAAGGAAGACGGCCCUAUGGGUUGUAAANUUCUUUUGUACAUGAAGAAAGGGACCUACGGGUAGGUUCGUGACGGUAAUGUACGAAUAAGCAUNGGCUAANUCCGUGCCAGCAGCCGCGGUAAUACGGAGGAUGCGAGCGUUAUCCGGAUUCAUUGGGUUUAAAGGGUACGUAGGUGGCCCGGUAAGUCAGUGGUGAAAACCUGCCGCUUAACGGUAGGCGUGCCAUUGAUACUGUCGGGCUUGAGUGCAGUUGAGGCAGGCGGAAUGUGUAGUGUAGCGGUGAAAUGCAUAGAUAUUACACAGAACUCCGAUUGNGAAGGCAGCUUGCUAAAGUGCAACUGACGCUGAUGUACGAAAGCGUGGGUAGCGUACAGGAUUAGAUACCCUGGUAGUC